CGUCUUCAGGGCAGGGUGGGAUUCCCGACUGGCGGUAAAGUCCGCGAACGCUUCGGCGCCGACUUGGUGAAACUCCAAGACCAACAGUAACAGUCUGGAUAGGAGAAGAUG
rnacentral:ncRNA from 1 species